GGACCGGCUGCGGGAGCGGGGCCGCGACGGCGAGCGGCGGCACCUCCCGGGCGCCCCGUAGCGCCGUUCCCGGUAGCGGCGGCCGCGAGAGCGCGACCGGCUGCGCGAGUACGAGCGCGAGUAGCGCCGGUACUUCCGCUGGUGGCGCCUGCGGGACCGGGACCUGCUCCUCCCCCGGGGCGGGCUCCGACUCCGCGACGACGCCCGGCUCGGGGCGCUGGAGCGGGACCGAGAGCUUCGGGAAGACGAUCGGCUCCUGGACGCCGAGGACAGGCGGCUGGACCGGCCCGACCGGGACGUCGACGGGGACUCCUUGUCCUGCGGCGAGCCGGGCCACAGGUCGUUCACGUACUGGGACAUGUCGGCCCGAGGCUGCAAGUCUCCCCGCCCGGAAACUCGGCGCCUGAAAACAACUAGGGAGGGCGGGGGAGGGGCACGGAAGUGAGUCGCGCGGGCGGCGGCGGGGCCCCAAAGCGACAAACUGUACAAGCCACUCCGAUCCCAGGCGGUGGCGACCCCGAAGGCUGGCCUGCCCGCCCCACCAGCGGCCCCCUCGCUGCGCCACCCGCCAGCCCAGGCUCCUGCCCCCCGGCGCCCCAGGCACCUGGAACCGACCCCGUCACCAGGAAACUUCCACCACAGGCCGUCGACGCCUCACCGAAGACGAAAAGGAAGGGCCAGCAGAUGCCUUCCUUUCGAGGCUGAGGACGGAGAGAGCGUUUUCCCAAAUUACUCUCCAACAGGAGACACUCAACCGCCACCUACGACCUCCACACGCGAACUGAGGCAAGAAAUGGAGGGAAUAAGGACCUUAUCACAGAAUCUGCACCCACCCAUACGAUCUGCCGUGGCACUGUCCACAAUAUCAUACACAACUCUACAGCAGCAGCAUGAUGGAAAUCGCUCUUAAGGAAAUGUUUAGAAACACUUUUCUACGUGGCAUCACAAAUAAACAGAAGACACUGCCUGUCUGCCAGGAACUUUUGCUGAAAGUUGUCAUGCAGCUGUGUGAAUGGAUGGAAAAAUAAAAUGAAUUUCAGAUUUGACAAGUGUAAAAAGGACAUGUUAGGGGAAAUAAUGUGGAACCUUAUGUAUAAGAUGAUGGAGUCUUGAGCUUUUGGUUAUUAAAAAGGACAGUGUGGUAGGAAUCUCUGUAACUGGCUCAAAAUCUCAGUCAAAUGUUUGCCUAAACUAAGGGGACUAGAAAAAUCCUGGAUGUUAACAGUAGGAAUAUUGGAAGCACAGUGGAAAACAUUACCUUGCCCUUGAGCAUAAUAUGGGCAUAUUUGUAUCUAGAAUAUGUGUAGUCUACCUGAGUUAAAGUCUGCAAAGUCUGUCAGUGUUUAUUUUUCUAAGCAACACAGUCUUCCCUGAGCAUCUAUUCCCUCACUUGAUUAAAAAUCCAAUUUCGGUUAUCAGUAAA